UUUUCGUAGGUGAACCUGCGGAAGGAUCAUUACAGAGUCGCGCCUACUCCGGGAGCCAUCUCCACCUCCUGACUACCGACAUUGUUGCAUUGCCGGGCCCCCCCCCGGCUGCCGCCGGACCCGGCUGGCCAGCGCCCGCCGGAGGCUUUUAAUAUCUAUCUUGCCAUGAGCUUGAGCGAACAAACAAUUCGAAAAACUUUCAAAAAAGCAGCUCUUGGUUCUGGCAUCGAUAAAGAACGCAGAAGAUAGGAAGAGCACACACCUGAACACUACACACAC
rnacentral:misc_RNA from 1 species